rnacentral:rRNA from 1 species
AUUGAACGCUGGCGGCAGGCCUAACACAUGCAAGUCGAGCGAGCGGCGGACGGGUGAGUAAUGUCUGGGGAUCUGCCUGAUGGAGGGGGAUAACUACUGGAAACGGUAGCUAAUACCGCAUACCAUCAGAUGUACCCAUAUGGGAUUAGCUAGUAGGUGAGGUAACGGCUUCCCUAGGCGACGAUCCCUAGCUGUUCUGAGAGGAUGAUCAGCCACACUGGGACUGAGACACGGGCCAGACUCCGACGGGAGGCAGCAGUGGGGAAUAUUGCACAAUGGGCGCAAGCCUGAGGCAGCCAGGCCGCGUGUAUGAAGAAGGCCUUCGGGUUGUAAAGUACUUUCAGUCGGGAGGCGUUACCGACAGAAGAAGCACCGGCUAACUCCGUGCCAGCCGCCGCGGUAAUAC